rnacentral:misc_RNA from 1 species
AAAAGUCGUAACAAGGUUUCCGUAGGUGAACCUGCGGAAGGAUCAUUAACACUUUUUAUUAUUUUGUUUUUUUCUAAAACAAAAUUUAAAACCCCACAAUUUUGGAUGAAUUUAAUUAAUUUAUUUUUUAUUUUAUUUUUUUUUAUUAUAACCCUAUUAUUUGACUAACAUUUUUAUUUAAUUAUUAAAAAAUUAAAAAAACAACUCUUAACAACGGAUAUCUUGGCUCUC